rfam:Microbacterium sp. CH12i Contig10, whole genome shotgun sequence.
GGGGCCUUAACUCAGUUGGUAGAGUGCCUGCUUUGCAAGCAGGAUGUCAGGAGUUCGAAUCUCCUAGGCUCCA